UAUUUCCUUCUAAGUACUAAUCUUUAGGGUUUUUUUUUUUCUUAAGAAUGUUAAGAUUUUCAUCUGUUGAAAGUUAAUAUGUACUAGAGUGGGGCUGGAUCAAUGGUUCAUGAGUUGAGAGCAUGAACUAUAUUAGCAGCUGCCUAUAACCCAAGCUCCAUGAGCUCCAGUGCUCUCUUCUGACCUCCAAGGGCACCAGCACGCAUGUGACGCACACUAGACACAUAAUGUUCAUAAGACAAAAAGCAGUAACAUCCUUGGCUAUGACAGUUGCUUGUUUUACUAUGUUCCUCCUUUCCUUAUUUUUGCCAUUAGUAGCACAUGAAGCAAAGGAAACAUUAUUUGCAUCCCUGUUUAUAUAGAUAUAGAUUGUAUACUAAUUGAUCUAUAUAAAGGUAAUCAUAUCCUGAAAUUUUCAUGCUUUGAUAUUUAAUUGUUGGUGUUUGGUAAUUUCAUUUCAUGUUAAAGCAGAUUUUAGUGCAAAACAUCAUUUGGCUAAAAUAUCUUUGCACUGUUACAUGGUAGAAUGUGAUCACAUUAGCCUCUGAAUUAUGCCUCAUCAUAGUUUAAAACAUCAUUUUUAGUUUUCAUUCUUUUGCCACAGCACAGUUCUUAAGUUACUGUCAUUUAAGUGGCUUGCCAUAAUAUCAGUGCUACAGUCCCUGUAUAACACUGGAAGCCUGUACAUGACUGAGGACUACUGGGUAUUCACCUGCCCCAAGGCUCCCUUAAUUUUUCUGCUUUCCUUCAGAGUUCUAAGCUUUCGAAGAGUCAGUUGUGAAUGUACUCAGUCACAAAGGCCCACUAAAUUUAUGUUUCAUUUAUUUAACUGAUUUGUUAUGCAAUUGUGAAGAAAUUAAAGUGUAAAACCAGAGUUGUUCUGAGAGAAAAAAAAAGUCAUUUUCUUCAGUGGUGCUAAAUUUAUGUGGGCAAAUCUGUAGAGAGGUAAUGAAGUCAUGUACUUUAUAUUCUGAUAUUCUCAAGAAGAGCUUGAUAGUAGCCAGGUGUGGUGGGGCACGCCUUUAAUCCCAGCACUCAGGAGGCAGAGGCAGGCAGAUUUCUGAGUUCGAAGCCAACCUGAUCUACAAAGUGAGUUCCAGGACAGCCAGGGCUACACAGAGAAACCCUGUCUCGAAAAACC
ensembl:sense_intronic Gm42696 predicted gene 42696